rnacentral:lncRNA from 1 species
CCAGCACGGCUGUCCGGGAGAGGGCGGCAGUACAGCCACCACGCCCAGCGCGGCCACCACCCCCAGCAUUACCGCCACGCCCAGCCCGAGGCGCCGGAGCAGUGCUGCCAGCUUGGGUCGCGUGGACACCACGAUCGCGCUGGUAUAGUUGCCCAGCCGCGGGAGAGACACCCCUCACCCCCGCGCGGGCCAGGCACGACUACACCGGGUGGACCAUUGGACAGAUGCACCCACUCACCUCUCCAGUCCGCACCCCGUCCCACGGGAGCACUUUCUACCCCCACGAGGGCACAGCCCCGCACGCCUCCCAGGAGACACAAACUCACCUCCCUCUCCCCAGCGAGGCAUGGAGACCCUAGCUCAUCACGCCCCUACUUCACAGCUUCCUUACUUGGAUUGCCCUGGGUCUACCUGCUGGGUGUUUGUAGGUGGGCACUCCCUGUAUGGGCUCCAAGGUGCUUGGACUUGCUGGCUUGUGCCCCCUAGGGGCGGGGAAAAGAUCCAGUCCUGCCUGCGUUCUACAAUCGGGUGGCCGGAGCCGAAACCCAGGCUGGCUCCUGGGGCAACGCCACACCAGAGGGAGGGGUUAGUAUGUGGAAGACUAGCCCUGGGACUUGGGACCAAUUUGGGGACCCCACCCCUUCCAUGCUAAUCUCACUGCCCAGUGAGGGGGGAGGG